rnacentral:rRNA from 1 species
AUCAACCGAGAUUCCCCCAGUAGCGGCGAGCGAACGGGGAGCAGCCCAGAGCCUGAAUCAGUGUGUGUGUUAGUGGAAGCGUCUGGAAAGGCGCGCGAUACAGGGUGACAGCCCCGUACACAAAAAUGCACAUGCUGUGAGCUCGAUGAGUAGGGCGGGACACGUGGUAUCCUGUCUGAAUAUGGGGGGACCAUCCUCCAAGGCUAAAUACUCCUGACUGACCGAUAGUGAACCAGUACCGUGAGGGAAAGGCGAAAAGAACCCCGGCGAGGGGAGUGAAAAAGAACCUGAAACCGUGUACGUACAAGCAGUGGGAGCCUCUUUAUGGGGUGACUGCGUACCUUUUGUAUAAUGGGUCAGCGACUUAUAUUCUGUAGCAAGGUUAACCGAAUAGGGGAGCCGAAGGGAAACCGAGUCUUAACUGGGCGUUAAGUUGCAGGGUAUAGACCCGAAACCCGGUGAUCUAGCCAUGGGCAGGUUGAAGGUUGGGUAACACUAACUGGAGGACCGAACCGACUAAUGUUGAAAAAUUAGCGGAUGACUUGUGGCUGGGGGUGAAAGGCCAAUCAAACCGGGAGAUAGCUGGUUCUCCCCGAAAGCUAUUUAGGUAGCGCCUCGUGAAUUCAUCUCCGGGGGUAGAGCACUGUUUCGGCAAGGGGGUCAUCCCGACUUACCAACCCGAUGCAAACUGCGAAUACCGGAGAAUGUUAUCACGGGAGACACACGGCGGGUGCUAACGUCCGUCGUGAAGAGGGAAACAACCCAGACCGCCAGCUAAGGUCCCAAAGUCAUGGUUAAGUGGGAAACGAUGUGGGAAGGCCCAGACAGCCAGGAUGUUGGCUUAGAAGCAGCCAUCAUUUAAAGAAAGCGUAAUAGCUCACUGGUCGAGUCGGCCUGCGCGGAAGAUGUAACGGGGCUAAACCAUG